rnacentral:rRNA from 1 species
UACGGAGGGAGCUAGCGUUGUUCGGAAUUACUGGGCGUAAAGCGCGUGUAGGCGGCUUGAUAAGUCCGCUCUGAAAGCCCGGGGCUCAACCCCGGGAGGCGGGUGGAUACUGUCAAGCUCGAGUCCGGAAGAGGCGAGUGGAAUUCCUGGUGUAGCGGUGAAAUGCGCAGAUAUCAGGAGGAACACCGGUGGCGAAGGCGGGUCUCUGGGCCGAAAUUGACGCUGAGGAGCGAAAGCGUGGGGAGCAAACAGG